UACGUAGGUGGCGAGCGUUGUCCGGAUUUACUGGGCGUAAAGCGCGCGCAGGCGGUUCUGUAAGUCCUGGGUGAAAUCGCCCGGCUCAACUGGGCGGGGGCCUGGGGGACUGCGGGACUGGAGGGGCCUAGAGGCCGGUGGAACUCCCGGUGUAGUGGUGAAAUGCGUAGAGAUCGGGAAGAACACCAGUGGCGAAAGCGGCUCACUGGACCAUAACUGACGCUGAUGCACGAAAGCUAGGGGAGCAAACAGG
rnacentral:rRNA from 1 species